rnacentral:lncRNA from 1 species
UGUUAACUGUUAACUGCCCAAGGUUGCCCUGCUGAUGUCAUGCCUGACCAUAUGACUUGCUCCAGCCAAUGAAAUGUAAGCAGAAGUGACAUAUGCAGCAUGACCAGUGGAAGCUUCGAAGAGCUAUUGCCAAUUUCCACCCUCUCUCUGGAAACUGUCAUUAGGGUUAGGGAAACUGUCAUGAGAUCUGCAUAUUUUAGAUAGAGGCUGCUUGCCUUAUUUGGGCACCUAAUGAAAAAGACAUGGAGGCCAGGUGCGGUGGCUCAUGUCUGUAAUCCCAGCACUUUGGGAGGCCAAGGCGAGUGGAUCACCUGAGGUCAGGAGUUCGAGACCAGCCUGACCAACAUGGCAAAACCCCGUCUGUACUAAAAGUGCAAACACAAAGGGAACUGCGUGGCUUGUUUCUACCUGAACAUUGUCAAGUGAUUUCAUCCUUUGAAACACAGUUGUGAAGUGUGUCCAGCAGUCUGAGAACAAGAAGAAGAAGAAAAUCUAAUCCUUCAGGGUGUCUGUGUGCCAGCCCUGCUCUCAGCACUUCCCAUGUGGAACUCCUUUACUUCUCCUAACAACUCCAUGACAUGGGUUAGACUGUGAUUGUUCCCAUAUUGUUGGUAGGGAAACUGAGGCAUGCAGGUGUUACAGAGCUCUCUCAAGUGGCAAGCUUUCUGGGUGGUUACAGAGUGGCAGAGCUGGGGUAUCCCAUGAUGUCACCACACUGCUAUAUGGAAAAGAACAUUAAUCGAGCACCUACGUGCUUGAUUCUCUUAAUUCUGUGACUGAACUCUCAAAACACCCUGGAGCACUGCGUGUUUUGAAAUAUACAAAUAGUGGGAAACGAAAUCUUUGUUCUGGAUGCAGUUAUAAUUUGGAAAGCGAGGAAAUAAAUUAUAACAAGGGGAAAAAACAGACACAGAGGGAUUGAAAUGCAUAACAAUAGAGAUGAAACACGAAGAGUGAUAAAUGAAGAUUGAGUGUGCACACCUUCUGGAGGAGCCCUGAUUGAGUAUUUUAAAAUACUACUAAAGUCAUGCCGUGUGACUUCUGAAGCUAGCUCCUAAGAAGUCCUUGCAGCUUCUGCCUGCGACUCUUAGAACACUUGCUUUGAAGGAUGCCAGAUGCUGUCUUAAAAGUCUGAGCACUCUGAAACCAUCAUGCUGUGAGGAAGCCCAAGCUAACCACAUGGGCAAAAAAGAUGCCCUCUGACUGCCACCAUUUGAGACACUCUAAUUAAGAACUGCCUCAUUGAGCCCAUGAGGCCCUGUGAAUGAUAAUAAUAAAUUGUUUUUAACCACUAUGUUUUUGGAUUUGUUAUAAGUUUAUAGAUAACAAGAAAAAGUUAUAUUAGCAUGGUAAUAAAAUUAUGGAUAUGUGUAAGUUUGGUGUUUUGUUUCUUUUUUUUUUUUACACUAAGCCUAUAUUACUGUUGUAAUUUAGGAAAUCACUUGUUUUCCUCCAGCACUUCAAUGUAAGAGUGGCACUACUUAGAAUGUACUUCUUAAGAUAUGGCUGUACAUAGAACAAAUUAUUCACCAUGAUUUCCUUAGCAUCCAACAGAAUACCUGAGUGUAGUAGAUGCUUAGUAAAUAGUUGUUGAAUAAUUGACAUAUGGGAGAGUGCUGGAUAAACUCUUUGAGAAUGACAUUAUCUACUUCGAUUUAUGUGAGUCUGGCAUCAUAUUUUUUUUGCUGUCUUUAAAGAAACCAAGAAGAAAGGCUGUGUGUUGAAGUUAUGAUUUAUUGCUUUUCUCCCCUAUACAUUUAUUUCUUCACAUGAUCAUCUCCUCUGCUUUCUUCUGUGACUAACUUGCUCUAUCUGUGUGAACAUUUUGCCACUAUUCUGCUCCCUUUAUACCUGCCUAGGCAAAGAUUGCACAAAAAAUAAAAUGAUAAACAAAGCUCUGUUGCAAAUAAAACUUAGAUGACACGCCAACAUCUCACAUCAGUCAAUAUGUGAAAAGAAUAAUAUCCAUGGACAAGUAGGGCUAAUUUCAAGAAUACAAGAAUAACCCUGGGGAAUUAGUUAAUAUAAGUAAAUCAUGUUUCAUAUAUCAAAAAAAUAUGAUCAUCUUGGCUUUUAAAACGUUCUUAGGAAACAAGAUCUUGAGGAAUACUUUAUUAACAUGAUAAAGAAGAUUUACAUUAAAUGAGCAUUUAUUGAGACAUGGCAUAUACAAGAUAAUGUUGAAUUUUAGGAAUUAAAAUAUUAAGUAAGGCAAGUCACUGUUCUCAAGAACUUAAAAUAUAAAAUAUUAAUCACAGAACCUUACCAGCCUCUUUUUCUGCAGUGGAUCUAGAAUGUCACAAUUGGAAAUUAAUGCAAAGGAAAUGUUUCAAAUUAAGACAUUUGCAUAAUGAUCAUUGCAGUGCUAUGUUCAAUAGCAAAGUAUCUUGACCUUAAUACCUGACAACAAGGGGCUAGUUAUGUAAAUUAUUUCAUAUUAACUCAAUGGAAUAUUAUACGCUCAUUAAGUUUCAUUCGGUAUGCAUGAUAUACAACCUAA